AGGAGCUCCUGCCAGGCGAAGCAAAAUCCAGACAUUUGCAAUCCAACACCGCAGAGAAGACCCAGAGAAGGGCUGCGUGAAGAUGAAGGAGAGAUUGGAGUCACAGGAUCAGAAGGAAAAGAUUCUUGGAACAACGGAAGCUGAAGGAGAAAAGGGCUGAGCCACCCUCUGAUGACCAUGCCAUCAAGAAGUCCAAGCCAACCAUAAUAAGAGAGAGAGAGAGAGAGACAGAGACAGAGACAGAGACAGAGACAGAGAGAGAUCGAGAUCCUGUGGAGCAGCACUGAGGUGCCAGACAUGUGGUAAAGCCUUUUCAAAUACAGCCAAGCGAACCCCACCAGACACCACAUAGAUCUAAAGAAACACCCGGCGGAGCCCUACC